AUGAAAGAAAUCAAAGAGGACACUAAUAGAUGGAGAAAUAUACCAUGUUCAUGGAUCAGAAGAAUCAAUAUAGUGAAAAUGAGCAUACUACCACAAAGCAAUCUACAGAUUGAAUGCAAUCCCUAUCAAGCUACUAGCAGUAUUUUUCACAGAGCUAGAACAAAUAAUUUCACAAUGUCACCCUGCUUAUUUAACUUAUAUGCAGAGUACAUCAUGAGAAACGCUGGCCUGGAAGAAACACAAGCUGGAAUCAAGAUUGACAGAAGAAAUACCAAUAACCUCAGAUAUACAGAUGACACCACCCUUAUGGCAGAAAGUGAAGUGGAGCUAAAAAGCUUCUUGAUAAAAGUGAAAGAGGAGAGUGAAAAUGUUGGCUUAAAGCUCAACAUUCAGAAAACGAAGAUCAUGGCAUCCGGUCCCAUCACUUCAUGGGAAAUAGAUGGAGAAACAGUAGAAACAGUGUCAGACUUUAUUUUUUGGGGCUCCAAAAUCACUGCAGAUGGUGAUUGCAGCCAUGAAAUUAAAAGACACUUACUCCUUGGAAGAAAAGUUAUGACCAACCUAGAUAAUAUAUUCAAAAGCAGAGACAUUACUUUGCCGACUAAGGUCCGUCUAGUCAAGGCUAUGGUUUUUCCUGUGGUCAUGUAUGGAUGUGAGAGUUGGACUGUGAAGAAGGCUGAGUGCCGAAGUAUUGAUGCUUUUGAACUGUGGUGUUGGAGAAGACUCUUGAGAGUCCCUUGGACUGCAAGGAGAUCCACCCAGUCCAUUCUGAAGGAGAUCAACCCUGGGAUUUCUUUGGAAGGAAUGAUGCUAAAGCUGAAGCUCCAGUACUUUGGCCACCUCAUGCGAAGAGUUGACUCAUUGGAAAAGACUCUGAUGCUGGGAGGGAUAGGGGGCAGGAGGAGAAGGGGACGACUGAGGAUGAGAUGGCUGGAUGGCAUCACGGACUCAAUGAAUGUGAGUCUGAGUGAACUCCGGGAGAUGCUGAUGGACAGGGAGGCCUGGCGUGCUGCAAUCAACCUGCCUGACUUCACGCUCUACUACAAAGCCAUAGUCAUCAAAUCAGUACAGUACUAG
rnacentral:lncRNA from 1 species